rnacentral:rRNA from 1 species
AUUGAACGCUGGCGGCAUGCCUUACACAUGCAAGUCGAACGGUAGCGGGCCUUCGGGUGCCGACGAGUGGCGAACGGGUGAGUAAUGUAUCGGAACGUACCUUUCAGUGGGGGAUAACGUAGCGAAAGUUACGCUAAUACCGCAUAUUCUGUGAGCAGGAAAGCAGGGGAUCGCAAGACCUUGCGCUGAUUGAGCGGCCGAUAUCAGAUUAGCUAGUUGGUGAGGUAAAGGCUCACCAAGGCGACGAUCUGUAGCGGGUCUGAGAGGAUAAUCCGCCACACUGGAACUGAGACACGGUCCAGACUCCUACGGGAGGCAGCAGUGGGGAAUUUUGGACAAUGGGGGCAACCCUGAUCCAGCCAUGCCGCGUGAGUGAAGAAGGCCUUCGGGUUGUAAAGCUCUUUCGGCCGGGAAGAAAUCGUAUCAGCUAAUACCUGGUGCGGAUGACGGUACCGGCAUAAGAAGCACCGGCUAACUACGUGCCAGCCGCCGCAGUAACAC